GAUGAACGCUGGCGGCGUGCCUAAUACAUGCAAGUCGAGCGAACAGACGAGGAGCUUGCUCCUCUGACGUUAGCGGCGGACGGGUGAGUAACACGUGGAUAACCUACCUAUAAGACUGGGAUAACUACGGGAAACCGGAGCUAAUACCGGAUAAUAUAUUGAACCGCAUGGUUCAAUAGUGAAAGGCGGGUUUGCUGUCACUUAUAGAUGGAUCCGCGCCGCAUUAGCUAGUUGGUAAGGUAACGGCUUACCAAGGCAACGAUGCGUAGCCGACCUGAGAGGGUGAUCGGCCACACUGGAACUGAGACACGGUCCAGACUCCUACGGGAGGCAGCAGUAGGGAAUCUUCCGCAAUGGGCGAAAGCCUGACGGAGCAACGCCGCGUGAGUGAUGAAGGUCUUCGGAUCGUAAAACUCUGUUAUUAGGGAAGAACAAAUGUGUAAGUAACUAUGCACGUCUUGACGGUACCUAAUCAGAAAGCCACGGCUAACUACGUG
rnacentral:rRNA from 1 species